UGCUCCUAGUACGAGAGGACCGGAGUGGACGCAUCACUGGUGUUCGGGUUGUCAUGCCAAUGGCACUGCCCGGUAGCUAAAUGCGGAAGAGAUAAGUGCUGAAAGCAUCUAAGCACGAAACUUGCCCCGAGAUGAGUUCUCCCUGACCCCUUAAGAGUCCUGAAGGAACGUUGAAGACGACGACGUUGAUAGGCCGGGUGUGUAAGCGCAGCGAUGCGUUGAGCUAACCGGUACUAAUGAACCGUGAGGCUUAACCUUACAACGCCGAAGGUGUUU
rnacentral:rRNA from 1 species